CCUACGGGAGGCUGCAGUAGGGAAUUUUGCGCAAUGGGCGAAAGCCUGACGCAGCAACGCCGCGUGAUCGAGACGCCCUUCGGGGUGUAAAGAUCUGUCAGUGGGGACGAAACUUGACGGUACCCACAGAGGAAGCACCGGCUAACUCCGUGCCAGCAGCCGCGGUAAUACGGGGGGUGCAAGCGUUGUCCGGAAUCAUUGGGCGUAAAGAGUUCGUAGGCGGCACGUAAAGUCUGGUGUUAAAGGCAGAGGCUCAACUUCUGUACGGCACUGGAUACUUGCGAGCUAGAAUGCGGUAGAGGUAAAGGGAAUUCCUGGUGUAGCGGUGAAAUGCGUAGAUAUCAGGAGGAAUACCGUUAGCGAAGGCGGCAAUCUGGCUGGAAACUGACGCUGAGGUGCGAAAGCGUGGGUAGCAAACAGGAUUAGAUACCCCUGUAGUC
rnacentral:rRNA from 1 species